AUCAUCUUACAUGUGUCAAGCACCAAACCGACACCCCUGGUACCCACCGCGACUUGUGCUGCUGGUGCUAGUGUGGAUGUGUACCAAGCAAGGUUUUUGAGUCGCCGACUAAUCGCCAAGUCGUCGCGGCGUGGCUGGCUCGCGCAGGCGACUUGACUCAGGGAGCGAGUCGCGCGACUCGCUGGCUCGCCAGCGACUUGGCGCGAUUAGUCGGCGGCUAGUAGCCGCCGGUCGCGCGGGCCACCUGCCAGAAUUUGGUUGGGGGGGGGGGUGUAAAUAGAGAGAGAGGACCGCGCGGGUUACAGAGAGACAGAGAGAGAGGGAAAGGGAGGGAACCGCGCGGGCCACUCCAGAUCGGCGGCCGCCGGCGACGCACCCCUCCAGAUCCUCCAAUGACGCGCACCCCCACCAGCCUCCACCGCCGGUGACGCGCGCCCCCACCAGCCUCCUCCACCGGUGACGCGCGUCCCCGCCAGCCUCCUCCGCCUCGGCCUCCAUCUUCUCCUGCGCCAGCAAACCUUAGCAGGCACUACAUUGUGGAAUGGAGGGAGUAUAUGGCGACUUGGGGCGACUAUUCAAGCCGAGUCAGUGAGUCAAGCCAGCAAGCCACUAGCCGCAACCUCGUCGACUUGGCUUGACUCGGCGACUCAAAAACCUUGGUACCAAGUUCAACUAUCAGUCUACUCCGAGUUCAGGGUAGUUCAAUUUUGCUAAUUCCUACGGUUCUCUAGUUAGAAAACCAGUGGAUCAUUUUUUUAGUUCCUGUGGUCUACAAAAUUAUUUGACCACCGUCGUGGGCACUUCUUCUUCGACAUCUCGUAAAGUUCAGCUUUCGUCAUCUCAUCCUUAUAUCUCUAUGGUAUCGUGACAUUGAGUAGGCGCGAAGUGUAUCACUCCAGCACACCAAGCUCUAGUGCAUGUCAACAUCUUCUCCACUGCAAUGGAAGCUCCUCCGUUCGAGUUGAGCACUGGUUAUCGUCCAAGUUGAGCACUAGGUGUCAUCCAAGUUCAAAGACGGUUGCAUGCAAGUACAUAAGUUUGUUUUAGUGAGAAAAAUGCGGCAUUUUGACAAUAUUCUGUUUGAUUCAUUUAUUCAAACUUAGGACUUGGCGAUAUUCGGUCUAUUUUUCUAUGAUGAAGGCACACAUGAAGUCAUGUGCGAAUGGUUAUCCCCCCUAGUGCUUCAAAGAUUUGUAUUUUGUUUCUUCAAAUGUGAUGUGCGCAUGUUUGAUGAGAUAAAACAAAAUAAAAUAGUGAAAAUGUCAUUAAAGACA